UCCUACGGGAGGCAGCAGUGAGGAAUAUUGGUCAAUGGGCGAGAGCCUGAACCAGCCAAGUAGCGUGCAGGAUGACGGCCCUAUGGGUUGUAAACUGCUUUUAUAGGGGGAAUAAAGUGAGCCACGUGUGGCUUUUGCAUGUACCCUAUGAAUAAGGACCGGCUAAUUCCGUGC
rnacentral:rRNA from 1 species